ACGCACGCUGGCGGCGUGCUUCACACCUGCCAGUCGAACGGAAAGGCCCUGCUUUUGUGGGGUGCUCGAGUGGCGAACGGGUGAGUAACACGUGAGUAACCUGCCCUUGACUUUGGGAUAACUUCAGGAAACUGGGGCUAAUACCGGAUAGGAGCUCCUGCUGCAUGGUGGGGGUUGGAAAGUUUCGGCGGUUGGGGAUGGACUCGCGGCUUAUCAGCUUGUUGGUGGGGUAGUGGCUUACCAAGGCUUUGACGGGUAGCCGGCCUGAGAGGGUGACCGGCCACAUUGGGCCUGAGAUACGGCCCAGACUCCUACGGGAGGCAGCAGUGGGGAAUAUUGCACAAUGGGCGGAAGCCUGAUGCAGCAACGCCGCGUGCGGGAUGACGGCCUUCGGGUUGUAAACCGCUUUCGCCUGUGACGAAGCGUGAGUGACGGUAAUGGGUAAAGAAGCACCGGCUAACUACGUG
rnacentral:rRNA from 1 species